AUCCAGCUGACGAGUCACAAAUAGGAUGAAACACGCGUCCUGGAU
rnacentral:hammerhead_ribozyme from 1 species